AUUGAACGCUGGCGGCAGGCCUAACACAUGCAAGUCGAACGAGUGGCGGACGGGUUAGUAAUGUCUGGGAAACUGCCUGAUGGAGGGGGAUAACUACUGGAAACGGUAGCUAAUACCGCAUACCAUCAGAUGUGCCCAGAUGGGCUUAGGUUGUUGGUGGGGUAAAGGCUCACCAAGGCGACGAUCCCUAGCUGGUCUAAGAGGAGGACCAGCCACACGGGAACUGAGGAAAGGUCCAGACUCCUACGGGGGGCAGCAGUGGGGAAUAUUGGACAAUGGGCGCAAACCUGAUGCAGCCAUGGCGCGUGGAAGAAGAAGGCCUUCGGGUUGUAAAGUAAUUUCAGCGGGGAGGCGUUAACCGCAGAAGAGGCACCGGCUAACUCCGUGCCAGCAGCCGCGGUAAUAC
rnacentral:rRNA from 1 species